rfam:Ovis aries breed Texel chromosome 4, whole genome shotgun sequence.
UCCCUUGUGGCUUAGCUGGUAAAGAAUCCACCUACAAUGUGGGAGACCUGGGUUCAAUCCCUGGGUUGGGAA